rnacentral:lncRNA from 1 species
UUUUUUUUUUUUUUUUUUUUUUUUUUUUUUUUUNCACACCCACGGCAUAUGGAGGUUCCCAGUCUAGGGGUCCAAUCAGAGCUACAGCUGCUGGCCUACACCACAGCUACAGCAAUGCCAGAUCGGAGCCACAUCUGUGACCUAUGCCACAGCUCAUGGCAACACCAGAUUCUUAACUCCCUGAGCAAGGCCAGGGACCAAACCCACAAUCUUGGGGUUCCUAGUCAGAAUGUUUCCGCUGUGCCACAACGGGAACUCCCCAGGAAUUUGUUUUAAUGAAACACUCACAUAAGUUUGUUAAGAAAUAUGCAACCCCAUCAAUUUAGCCUUGUCCUGAAUUCGUUGUGUUUUUUUGUUUGUUUUUGAUUUUUCUUUUUAGGGCCACUCCCACGGCAUAUGGAAGUUCCCAGGCUAGGGAUCGAAUCAGAGCUGCAGCUGCUGGUCUAUACCACAGCCACAGCAAUGCCAGAUCCAAGGGCAUCUGUAACCUACAUCAUAGUUUGUAGCAACGCUGGAUCCUCAGCCCAUUGAGAGAGGGCAGGGAUUGAACACGUAUCAUCGUGGAUACUGGUUGGGUUCUUAAUCUGCUGGGCCACAAUUCGAACUCCAAUUUAGCCUUGUCUUGGAGUGAAAAGUUGGAGGGUACCAAGGACUCACAGUAUGGGGACUAGUGGAGAAAAGUGAGACAGAGCCAGAUAGUCAUGUACACUGUAGUGCCUCUGGUAAAUUAAUGACAUGGUUCUGCAUUUCCUCAUGUGGAAGGAGGUCUGACAGCUCAUUCAUCCUACACACUUUCUUGGGCACCUGCUAUGUUCCAGUAUCUGUUCUAGGCAAAGGAUGCAGCAGUGAAGAAAGGAGACAAUGUCCUUGCCCCCAUGAAGCUUCCAUUCUAAUGGGAAAGAUUUUCACAAACAAAUAAAUACAUAUUAUCACAUAAUAACAUAUCCAUUAGGUUAAAAAAAAAAAAGCAAGGAGCAUGGGGAAGUCACUUCGGAAAACAGUUUGGCAGUUUCUUAUAAGGUUAAAUAGAUAUUUACCAAUAUACCUUUGGUCCGGCCAUCCCACUCCUGGGUAUUUACCCAAGAGAAAUGCAAAUUUAUAGUCACCCUAGAACCUGUGUGUGUCCUGUAAUUUCAUUUUAUGUGACAUUCUGGUAAAGGCAGAAUAUAGGGACAGAGAAUAGAUUAAUCAUUUCUGGGAACUAGGGUUGAAGGAAGGGGUUGAUUACAACAGGGCACAAGGGAAUUUGGGAGGGUAUUGAAACUGUCCUAAGUCUUUGUUGUGGUGAUGCCUACACAGCUGUAGAUGUUUGGUCAAGACUCCUAAUUCUACAUUAAAAACAGUGAAUUUUACUAUAAGUAGAUUAUAUACCUCAGUAAACCCUAUUAAGGAAAAAAAGCAAAGUACAAGUUCUGUAUACAGUAUAAUCCCAUUUUUGUAAGUAAUAAGAAUAAUAAAAGAUGUUAGAUUGUGCUUAGGGAAAAAAAAAUUAGUUGAAUAUCCAGUACGUUGAAUUGUUAACAGUAAGUUAUCUGGGUUGGGGAAAGGGGUGUUUCAUUUUCUAAAUUACACAUUUCUUUGAUGUUUGAAUAUUUUAUGGGGCAUGUGUUACUUUCAAAAUUACAGGGGACAACGGAUUGUAAUACAAAAGUUAACCUUCAGUGCUGGUCAGGCUACUGUGGCCAGGUGCAGAACUCAUUUGAGAUGCUCAGGCUACAUCACUGAUCCUAAUUCUGGCUCUGGAGGGCAAUUGUCCACUCAGGCUGUUGGUGACAACAGGCAAGGAAGGGCUGCUCCCCCCUCUAUGCUGCUACUGGGGGGAGUGGGCCCUUCAGUAGUUCUCACGGGACUGGUUUUUGUGGACAGAGGUGGAGUGAGGCUUAGGGCUGACAAGGCUUUUGUCUUCCUGCCAUAGAGAGAAGCUGUCUGUGGCCCAAGGUGGUUUAACACCUCUGAUAAUAAACCCAACAUUGAUUGACACUUGCUCUGUGCCAGACACUGGCCAAGGACUUACUGCUUAGUAUUAUUUUGUAAUUCCUUCAUUUAACGAACAUUUGUGGGAUACUUUUUUUUUUUUUUACAUUUUGCUUUUGUUUUUGGCCACACCUGCGGCAUGUGGAAGUUCCUGGGUCAGGUAUCAUACCCCUUGGCACAAUAGCGACCUCAGCCCCUGCAGUGAUAACACCGGAUCCUUAACCUGCUGACCCACAUGGGAAGCCACAAACACUUGUUAAACACCAACAAUAUUCUAGGCACUGGGGAUAUGAUAGCGAUCAAAGAGGAGGAAGAAAAAAGCCCUUAUGUUCCAUCCCCCUUAUAUUCUAAUAGGGAAAGGGGGAGACAAGCACAAAUAUGUGAGAACAGAUACAUAUCAGAGGAUUUUAUUUUUUUAUUUUUAUUUGUCUUUUUGCCAUUUCUUGGGCCACUCCCGCUGCAUAUGGAGGUUCCUAGGCUAGGGGUCAAAUCAGGGCUGUAGCUGCUGGCCUAUGCCAGAACCACGGCAAUGCAGGAUCCAAGCCGCAUCUGCGACUUACACCACAGCUCCCGGCAACACCGGAUCCUUAAUCCACUGAGCAAGGCCAGGGAUUGAACCCGCAAACUCAUGGUUCCUAGUCGGAUUCGUUAACCACUGAGCCAUGACGGGAACUCCUGUCAGAGGAUUUUUAGAUGCUAAGAGAAAACUGAACAGAGUGAGGGUGCAAGAGGGAGGGAUUGGGGCAUACUGCUUUAGGUGCAGUGGUCCAAAAGGGUCUUUCCAAUUUGGGGGCCAUCUGACCCAAGGGGAGGAGGGGCCUGCCAGGGCCAGGGCUCUGAGGCUGAGUGUGUGAGCAGAGCCAGAGGGAGGUCAUGGUCCUGCAGCAGAGUGUGCGGGGGGGACACCUGCAAAGGAGCAAGAGGCCACAUGACCCAGGGCCCCCACAGGUGGCAACAAAGUGUUUGGCUUUAACUUUGAAGGAGAUGGGAAUCAUGGAAGGGUUUAGAGCAGAGGAGUGACAUAGGUUUGAUUAGGAUCCCUCUGACUGCUCUGCAGGAAAGAGGACACAGUGGGAGUGGGGCAGGAGUGAGAUCAUCAGAGAGACAAGUGGCUUAGGCUUGGGGUGGCACAUUCUGGAUAUUUUCAUUUCACCCUUCACUUUUCCCAUCUGCAAAAUGGAACAAUAAUAGUAUCUCCCUCACGGGAAAAUUAAACAAUUCCAUGGUGUAAACUAUCUGGCCCUGUGCCUGGUGCAUGGGAAAUGCUCAAUAAAUAUGUCUGUGCUUAUUAUUAUAGUUAUUAUUAUUAUUAUUGUUAUUGCUACUACUAUUGUUGUUGUUGUUGUUACCAACCUCCUUAUGAUGCCAGGAUAAUUAUGCACGCAUGAUGGAUGAGAAGAGUGAGGCUCAUAGGGUUGAGGCUGCUUCUUCAAGAGCAGGUGGCUGGUAAGUAGUGGAACUAUACUGUUCCAGGACCCUGCAGAACAUUUAUGGGGAGGCACACUUGGCCCGUGUGGAGACGGGAAGCCCAGAAUAAAGGGCAGAGGGUGUCUAAGCAAGUGGGAACCCUCUAACCUCAUCUUAUUUCAGAAGGCAGCAGUGGUCAAGCUUCAGAUCCUCCCUGGCACUUCCAAGCUGUGUGACCUUAGGCAAGUCAGCUCACCUCUCUGAGCCUCAGCUGUCUCAUUUGUAAGAUGAGGACUGUGAUAGGACCUACCCCAUGAGAUAGUUGUGACAAUUAGACACCUGGCAGAAAAUGAGCUGCCUAAACACAUUCAGAAAGCAGCCCCUCCUGAUGCUACAGUAAAGAGGGGGUAAUUGAGUAUAUAUGGUUGAUGGAAUGUCUUGUUGGUAGCACCCACCACACAGCUCUGUUAGGGAGGAGAAAGCCGUACUUCUGUUGGGAUCUUGAGAUGUGGCUGAUUAGAUUAUAUUGAACAGGCUCAUUAGGGUGCACUUGCUAUGGGAACAGUGACCUCUUCAUCAAACCACAAACACAGAACAUUGCAAAGGUGUUUUUUGAGUUUGAGUUAUUGUAUGAUUAACAUGAAGUAAAGUCUGCUUGUUGGAAAGUCACUUUAAGGGUCUAUUCUUUUUUUUUUUUUUAAUGUGAGGGAAUAUUUGCCUAGGUAUUUUUGGUGGAAUGUAAAGAAGGGGCUUCUCUGUUCAGUAAGCGUUGUGAAAUGCUGGUAGAAAAUCCCCAUAACACAACUUGCUAACAUUUACAGAAGCUGUUGUGAUUAAGUGGGAACCAAGCUACAGAAAAAUCUACAACAAGAAGUCAGCAAAGUAAGAUCAAGAGACUAUAAAGUAAACAAUAUAUAGAGAAUGAAAAGUAAUUUAUUUCCUUGGGGAAGCGAUCUGUACCGACAGCAGCAACAGAGUGACUCUGUAGAUGUACUCCAUUUCCAUCCGCGGGAGAUGAUUGCAGUCAGCACAUUUGAAAAUUGAGAAAUUGUGUACGCAAUUUGAAAAACCAACUGAUUAUAACUCACCAGUGUGCUAAGAGGUCAGUGGCCCAUUUCAAAAAGGAAAAACUGAGACUCAAGUGGGAGAGAAGAGUUGCUUGCCUCAUCCUUGCUGAGACACCAUAACCCAGAUGACCAGGAGAGCCCAGUGAGCCUGUCACUGGGCCAUGUGAAGACAAGGUGAUGACUCAUCUCUCACAUGUGGCUUUUUUUUGGCCUCCGAGUUGUUGCCUGAGUAAGGACUGUGCUCUUUCCCAGGGUUGCUUUCAAAUAAAACGACCUGUUGCAGAAAGCAAGAGCUGCCUACCCCCACCCCCACCCCCCCAGGCAGGAACCCAGCCAGCAGGGAGCUGACACACCUGUGCUAGGGAGCAGGCAAAGUGUCCUCCAGGCUGGGAACUUAAAGUGCCUGACAGUUUGGAAGGAACUGGUAUGGGUAUGGUCCCUGCAGCAUGGGGUCCUUUGUCUAACAUGCUAGGACCGGGAUGUCACUUCUCCAAGAGUAGUAUCACACAGCUGGUGUGGCUCAAUCAGUUGCCUUCUCUCCCAUCUAGCCCCUGAUUUAGGCCACUGGUGAAAAGACAUUUGUCUUCCUUACAAACCUCUGGACGCUUGGGUCUGGCCCGGAGCACAGAAAGCAGAAAGGGUGAGAUGUGCUGGCAGAAUUGCCAGAAGAGUUGGCAUCUCCCCUCCCAGAGCACAGCCUGGCUCAGGGCCACCCGAGAAGGCCGUUUCUUUUAUGAGCAUUGAAUUCACACUUGCACAGCCCUGGAGAGGAAAAGUUACAGAAUCCACCGUGUGAACACCCUCUUCCCUUAAAGAUAAUUUUGAGUUGGCUGUUAUGAGUGAGGCCGUUCAGAUUCUAAGAGCGUGUGUGUGUGUGUGUGUGUGUGUGUGUAUGUGUGUCCAUCCAGAGGAAACAGAAUUUAGUUGCAUGUGAUAUAUUUCACCACCUGCUGUGACCAUAGCCUGCAGCAUAUAAACUUAGUAGAGGCUGAAAAUUUAUGACUAUAGUCACUUGUCUUUGGUCAAGUGUCAGUGU